AUUGAACGCUGGCGGCAGGCCUAACACAUGCAAGUCGAGCGGAUGAAGGUAGCUUGCUACCUGAUUCAGCGGCGGACGGGUGAGUAAUCCCUAGGAAUCUGCCUGGUAGUGGGGGACAACGUGUCGAAAGGAACGCUAAUACCGCAUACGUCCUACGGGAGAAAGUGGGGGAUCUUCGGACCUCACGCUAUCAGAUGAGCCUAGGUACGAUUAGCUAGUUGGUGAGGUAAAGGCUCACCAAGGCGACGAUCGUUAACUGGUCUGAGAGGAUGAUCAGUCACACUGGAACUGAGACACGGUCCAGACUCCUACGGGAGGCAGCAGUGGGGAAUAUUGGACAAUGGGCGAAAGCCUGAUCCAGCCAUGCCGCGUGUGUGAAGAAGGUCUUCGGAUUGUAAAGCACUUUAAGUUGGGAGGAAGGGCAGUAAGUUAAUACCUUGCUGUUUUGACGUUACCGACAGAAUAAGCACCGGCUAACUUCGUGCCAGCAGCCGCAGUAAAAC
rnacentral:rRNA from 1 species